rnacentral:tRNA from 1 species
CAAAAUGUAACUUAAUAAAAGUUAUCCUGCUUACACCAAGAAUAUGUUCUGUGCAAUCCCUGACCAUUUUGA